rnacentral:rRNA from 1 species
GACGAACGCUGGCGGCGUGCCUAAUACAUGCAAGUCGAACGGAGUGGCGAACGGGUGAGUAAUGCCUAGGAAUCUGCCUGGUAGUGGGGGAUAACGUCCGGAAACGGGCGCUAAUACCGCAUACUAUCAGAUGAGCCUAGGUGGGAUUAGCUGGUGGGUGGGGUAAAGGCCUACCAAGGCGACGAUCCGUAACUGGUCUGAGAGGAGGAUCAGUCACACUGGAACUGAGACACGGUCCAGACUCCUACGGGAGGCAGCAGUGGGGAAUAUUGGACAAUGUGCGAAAGCCUGAUCCAGCCAUGCCGCGUGUGUGAAGAAGGUCUUCGGAUUGUAAAGCACUUUAAGUUGGGAGGCGUUACCAACAGAAUAAGCACCGGCUAACUUCGUGCCAGCAGCCGCGGUAAUAC